CUCUCGCAUCGAUGAAGAACGCAGCGAAAUGCGAUAAGUAAUGUGAAUUGCAGAAUUCAGUGAAUCAUCGAAUCUUUGAACGCACCUUGCGCUCCUUGGUAUUCCGAGGAGCAUGCCUGUUUGAGUGUCAUUAAAUUCUCAACUUCAUCAACUUUGUUGUUGAAGCUUGGAUGUGGGGGUUUUGCAGGUCUGCCUUAAUUGUGUGGUCUGCUCUCCUGAAAUAUAUUAGCGGGUUGGCUUCCCUCUAUCAGUGUGAUAAUUAUCUACGCUGUGGAUGGGUUUGGCUUUCAGACCAGCUUCUAAUCGUCCUUUUAGGACAAUCUCUUGACAUUUUUGACCUCAAAUCAGGUAGGACUACCCGCUGAACUUAAGCAUAUCAAUAAGCGGAGGAAAAGAAACU
rnacentral:rRNA from 1 species